ensembl:rRNA 5S_rRNA 5S ribosomal RNA
CUCUACAGCCAUGCCACCCUGAACAAGCCUGAUCCUGUCUGAUCUCGGAAGCUAAGCAGGGUCAAGCCUGGAUAGUACUUGGAUGGGAGACCACCUAGGACGACUAGGAAGACCAGGUGCUGUAGGCA